GAUGAACGCUGGCGGCGUGCUUAACACAUGCAAGUCGAACGGGAUCCCAGGAGCUUGCUCCUGGGUGAGAGUGGCGAACGGGUGAGUAAUGCGUGACCGACCUGCCCCAUACACCGGAAUAGCUCCUGGGAACGGGUGGUAAUGCCGGAUGCUCCAGUUGACCGCAUGGUCCUCUGGGAAAGCUUUUGCGGUAUGGGAUGGGGUCGCGUCCUAUCAGCUUGAUGGCGGGGUAACGGCCCACCAUGGCUUCGACGGGUAGCCGGCCUGAGAGGGCGACCGGCCACAUUGGGACUGAGAUACGGCCCAGACUCCUACGGGAGGCAGCAGUGGGGAAUAUUGCACAAUGGGCGCAAGCCUGAUGCAGCGACGCCGCGUGCGGGAUGACGGCCUUCGGGUUGUAAACCGCUUUUGACUGGGAGCAAGCCCUUCGGGGUGAGUGUACCUUUCGAAU
rnacentral:rRNA from 1 species